ensembl:lncRNA
CCCAGUCCAAUAGGUUACCCCAGUAUAAUAUGUUACCCAGUCCAAUAGGUUACCCCAGUAUAAUAUGUUACCCAGUCCAAUAGGUUACCCCAGUCUAAUAUGUUACCCAGUCUAAUAGGUUACCCCAGUCUAAUAGGUUACCCCAGUCUAAUACGUAACCCCAGUCUAAUAUGUUACUCCAUUCUAAUAUGUUAACCCAGUCUAAUAGGUUACCCCAGUCUAAUAUGUUACCCAGUCUAAUAGGUUACUCCCGUCUAAUAAAUUACUCCAGUCUAAUAAGUUACCCAGUCAAAUAGGUUACCCCAGUCUAAUAUGUUACCCAGUCUAAUAGGUUACCCCCGUCUAAUAGAUUACCCCAGUCUAAUAGGUUACCCCAGUCUAAUAGGUUACCCCAGUCUAGUAGGUUACCCCAGUCUAAUAGGUUACCCCCGUCUAAUAGAUUACCCCAGUCUAAUAGAUUACCCCAGU